AUACGUAGGGAGCAAACGUUGUCCGGAUUUAUUGGGCGUAAAGGGCUCGUAGGCGGUUCAACAAGUCGGUCGUGAAAGCCCGGGGCUCAACCCCGGGACGCCGGUCGAAACUGUUGUGACUAGAGUUCGGUAGAGGUGAGUGGAAUUCUCGGUGUAGCGGUGGAAUGCGCAGAUAUCGAGAGGAACACCAUUAGCGAAGGCGGCUCACUGGGCCGAUACUGACGCUGAGGAGCGAAAGCAUGGGGAGCAAACAGGAUUAGAUACCCUAGUAGUCC
rnacentral:rRNA from 1 species